CCUACGGGAGGCAGCAGUGGGGAAUUUUGGACAAUGGGCGCAAGCCUGAUCCAGCAAUGCCGCGUGCAGGAAGAAGGCCUUCGGGUUGUAAACUGCUUUUGUCAGGGAAGAAAUCUUCUGGGCUAAUAUCCCGGGAGGAUGACGGUACCUGAAGAAUAAGCACCGGCUAACUACGUGCCAGCAGCCGCGGUAAUACGUAGGGUGCGAGCGUUAAUCGGAAUUACUGGGCGUAAAGCGUGCGCAGGCGGCUUUGCAAGACAGAGGUGAAAUCCCCGGGCUCAACCUGGGAACUGCCUUUGUGACUGCAAGGCUAGAGUACGGCAGAGGGGGAUGGAAUUCCGCGUGUAGCAGUGAAAUGCGUAGAUAUGCGGAGGAACACCGAUGGCGAAGGCAAUCCCCUGGGCCUGUACUGACGCUCAUGCACGAAGACGGUGGGGAGGACGAACGAGGAGUAGUACUACCGUACGGUACGUACCGACCGACCCGUAAACCGUAACGUAGUCUACUAGGUUGGUUGGUACGGUCGUUCGUCGUGUUCGUACGUAACGAACGACGUAACGACGUGGUAAGGUUAGGUACCGGCCGGUCGGGGUAGGGUACGGGUUCCGGCGUAAGGUUAGGUUAAACGUUAAAGGUUAAGUUAGGUUACGGCGUUGAGACGUUAGCCGACGGACGACGACGAGGGAGGAGG
rnacentral:rRNA from 1 species